UACGGGGGGAGCAAGCGUUGUUCGGAUUUACUGGGCGUAAAGGGCGCGUAGGCGGUCCCUCAAGUCAGGCGUGAAAGCCCCGGGCUCAACCUGGGAACCGCGCUGGAGACUGAUGGGCUAGAGUUCGGGAGAGGAUGGUGGAAUUCCCAGUGUAGAGGUGAAAUUCGUAGAUAUUGGGAAGAACACCGAUGGCGAAGGCAGCCAUCUGGACCGACACUGACGCUGAGGCGCGAAAGCGUGGGGAGCAAACAGG
rnacentral:rRNA from 1 species